rnacentral:tRNA from 1 species
GCCUCGGUAGCUUAAUCGGUUUUGAGCACCACAUUGGUAGAUAAUAGUCUUAUCAGAUAAAAUCCAAAGAUGUGGAGGUUGCGAGUUCAAUUCUCGCCCGAGGCU